rnacentral:rRNA from 1 species
UACGUAGGGUGCGAGCGUUGUCCGGAAUUACUGGGCGUAAAGAGCUCGUAGGUGGUUUGUCGCGUUGUUCGUGAAAUCCCCCGGCUCAACCGGGGAAUUGCGCCUGAUACUGCCGGGCUAGAGUCCGGAAGAGGCGAGUGGAAUUCCUGGUGUAGCGGUGAAAUGCGCAGAUAUCAGGAGGAACACCAAUGGCGAAGGCAGCUCGCUGGGACGGUACUGACGCUGAGGCGCGAAAGCGUGGGGAGCAAACAGG